UAUUUAGGGGUGCCCCCUGACCUUUGGUCAAGGCUGAGAUUAUACCCUUCGAACCUGAUACGGUUAAUACCGGCGUAGAGAAA
rnacentral:ncRNA from 1 species